CACCUGAGCACACGCACACGGACCUCGGAGCACACGCAAGCGAGGGGAACUGCGCACGCGGGACUCCGGACCCGGUGCUAACCCGGGGGUGGAGAAAGAGAGGGAGGAAGAGCGAAGGCCGGACCUGGACGCCAGCGGGUGCAGCGCGGCCCUGCCUCUGGUGAAAACUCCGGAACCUGGUAAACUGAUCCCGUCGGCUGCGCUAACAUGAUAAGAUGGAGGAUCACGUUCCUGGACCCCCACAUACGUAGCCACACCGAGGGUUAAAGGGAUGAGAUUCAUCUGUGAAUUCUAGGCCCAGGGAGGCCACUAAGUAACUGGAACAAGAUUGUUUGUCCUGAAAAUGUCCUUAGCGUCACGAUUCUGCUGCUUACACCUCCGUGAUGUUGCUCGCCAUAUCGCUCCGUCCUGUUUGUCCGGUAGACCCGUCGUUGGAUCCACCUGCACCGUCCAAUAUGGCAGCCAUUAGCCCUCCGUGGCUACCAGACAUCUGAAGUGUGGCUGGUACAACUGAGGAACUGAGCUUUUUAUUUCGUUUAAUUUGAAUUAAUUUAAAUUUUAAAAUGGAUAAUCGGUUCGGUUACAGGAAAACUUUUAAGUAUGUUCAGAACAACUUUUUCUCUUGUGAAUUUACUUUUUCCCUUAUGAAUUUCACAAGCUCUAAAUACGGGUCAAGUAUUUCGAGUGGAUAUUUAGCAUCUAAAUUGAAAUACGUUCUAAGCAUAAAAUACAAACUGGAUUUCAAAGACCGAGUCCAAGAAGAAAGUAUGCGAAAUAUCUCAUUACUAUUUUUAUAUUGAUUACCUAUUGAAAUAAUAUUUUGGACAUAUUGGACUAAAUAAAACAUAUUAUUAAAAUUCAUUCCACGGUUUCUUCUUACCUUUUUAAAGUGGUUACUAGCAGGAAAGUUUAAAUU
rnacentral:lncRNA from 1 species